rfam:Peptostreptococcus anaerobius CAG:621 genomic scaffold, scf78
UAAAAGGAUAGAGGCGCAAUCAACAUCAGUAAUAACAGACCAUGUAGGCAAACUGUCUGUUGUAAAAGGGGCGAUUGCCGAAAUUAGGGUCACACUGCCUUGUGAUUUUAGUUGGAACAUUGGUUAAUAGCCCUUGUUCUGUCAUUAUCUAGAUGAUAAUGGAGAGCUAACCGCAAA